AGAUUGAACGCUGGCGGCGUGCCUAACACAUGCAAGUCGAGCGGUAACAGGUGUAGCAAUACAUGCUGACGAGCGGCGAACGGGUGAGUAAUGCUUUGGAAUCUUCCCAGUAGUGGGGAAUAACCAGUCGAAAGAUUGGCUAAUACCGCAUAAGUCUGUAAAGGGAAAGCGGGGGCUCGUAAGACCUCGCGCUAUUGGAUGAGCCAAAGUCGGAUUAGCUAGUUGGUGGGGUAAUGGCCUACCAAGGCGACAAUCCGUAGCUGGUCUGAGAGGACGACCAGCCACACCGGAACUGAGACACGGUCCGGACUCCUACGGGAGGCAGCAGUGGGGGAAUAUUGGACAAUGGGGGAAACCCUGAUCCAGCGACGCCGCGUGUGUGAAGAGGCCUGCGGGUUGUAAAGCACUUUUAGUGGGGACAAAAGCUACGGACUAAUAUUCUGUGGUCUUGAUUUAACCCAAAGAAAAGCACCGGCUAACUCUGCGCAGCAGCCGCGGUAA
rnacentral:rRNA from 1 species